rnacentral:lncRNA from 12 species
CACACACAGUCAGAGAACUCUUGAACUGCAUUAGUGCGCCAUCGCGCUCUGAACGGUAAGUACGUUAAGACGCGCUCGUCUGGAUUCCGCGCUAUUUGUCCUGUUUAAUCACUUUUGAUUAUCCAUAAACGCGUGGUUGCAACAAAAAGCUGUCUAAAGUUUGAAGGAUACUGGGAACAUCUGUCAGGCUGAGCCGGUUUUGUUAUUAUUCACUUCUCUUUUGUUUGGAGUGGGAUUCCAUUGAACUUGGUCCAUUGUUGUUGGAUGAGAAGCUCAUCUUGGCAUUGAGGCUCCUGGGAUCCAAUACUACGGAGCAAACAGUGGUCAAUUUGCAGAUGUUGAAAGCUGAACUCUAUACUUUAAGGAUAAAAAUGGCCAUGUGUCCUGUAUACGUGGAAGAAUUUUCAUCCUGACCACUGUCCUGGAUCUACACCGUCAUAGGAAAGAGUGACAAAUCUCUUGGCAAAGAAAGACUUUGGUGAUUUUAUUUUUCUGUGG